CCUACGGGAGGCUGCAGUAGGGAAUCUUGCACAAUGGAGGAAACCCUGAUGCAGCGACGCCGCGUGAGUGAAGAAGUAUUUCGGUAUGUAAAGCUCUGUCAGCAGGGAAGAAAUAAAGUCCUUCGGACUUUGGACGAUACCUGGCUAAGAAGCCCCAGCUAAAUACGUGCCAGCAGCCGCGGUAAUACGUAGGUGGCAAGCGUUAUCCGGAUUUACUGGGUGUAAAGGGAGCGUAGACGGCAGAGCAAGUCUGGAGUGAAAUCCCAUGGCUUAACCAUGGAACUGCUUUGGAAACUGUGCAGCUGGAGUGCAGGAGAGGUAAGUGGAAUUCCGUGUGUAGCGGUGAAAUGCGUAGAUAUUAGGAGGAACACCAGUGGCGAAGGCGGCUUACUGGACUGUAACUGACGUUGAGGCUCGAAAGCGUGGGGAGCAAACAGGAUUAGAUACCCGGGUAGUC
rnacentral:rRNA from 1 species